AACAUAUUCAGCAACUAAACACGGGUCAGCUAGUACCUAGUAAUACCUAUUAAUAUCAUGUUUAUAGUCGUGUCAGUAUUAAUUUAUAAUAGGUACCUACACGGUAGUUCUCUGCGGACAUCGACCAAGGAAAUUAUAUUAACAGGCCUAGUUUGACGUGCGAUUGAAUUCCAGUCGAAAACAGUGGACGGAACGAUAAUCUCAGGACCUUCGAUGCAUUGGAAGAUGCCAAAUAAGACGGUCACCGCCGUUCUGUUUUUGCUGGUGUUGGCACCGUUAGCGACCGGCAGCGGCGGCGACGACAAGUCAUUGCACACACGGACCGCCUCCCGGUGCACCAAUAAAAUUGCUCGGACCACGAGCCGCGGAAUAUAGAGCAGAUCAAAGCGUCGAUACUGAACAAGCUAGGCAUGAAACAGCCACCGGACUUCGGUGGUCGGGUGUCCAAAGGUCUGCCACCGCUGCAAGAUAUCAUACGCAAGGACAAUAUCGACCACAGCGGCAGCGUGGUGGUGCUCCCGCACAUCCGACACAGGUCACACCACCUAGACGCGACUGACGACAGCACCUCUGAUCUGCAGAGCGACGAAGCGACGGCUUAUUCCAGGGGCUGAAUAGUGUGUCCCCUGAAAAUCAAAAUGUGUCCCCUGAAUGACAAAGGACAUAUAGCGCUCCCGGUGGUGACGUCUAUCUGUAGUAAAAUUUUCAAUCAAGUUUUCAAACAAGUGACGACACCUUAUCAAUACACCUUGGUCUCGACUCUAUAUACCCAUCAAGGACAUACAUAUUUAUUAUUUAUAUAUUAUAAGAUACAUCAUAUCACAUACUUAUCUAAAAAUAUUAUGCUUUAAUGAGGUGUUUAUUCGUACCUAUGUGAUUAUAUAAUAGGAAAACUAUAUAAUAUUUUUAUGUGAUUUGGUAAUAUUUAUA
rnacentral:misc_RNA from 1 species